rnacentral:rRNA from 1 species
GACGAACGCUGGCGGCGUGCUUAACACAUGCAAGUCGAACGGAAAGGCCCUGCUUUUGUGGGGUGCUCGAGUGGCGAACGGGUGAGUAACACGUGAGUAACCUGCCCUUGACUUUGGGAUAACUUCAGGAAACUGGGGCUAAUACCGGAUAGGAGCUCCUGCUGCAUGGUGGGGGUUGGACAGUUUCGGCGGUUGGGGAUGGGCUCGCGGCUUAUCAGCUUGUUGGUGGGGUAGUGGCUUACCAAGGCUUUGACGGGUAGCCGGCCUGAGAGGGUGACCGGCCACAUUGGGACUGAGAUACGGCCCAGACUCCUACGGGAGGCAGCAGUGGGGAAUAUUGCACAAUGGGCGGAAGCCUGAUGCAGCAACGCCGCGUGCGGGAUGACGGCCUUCGGGUUGUAAACCGCUUUCGCCUGUGACGAAGCGUGAGUGACGGUAAUGGGUAAAGAAGCACCGGCUAACUACGUG